rnacentral:lncRNA from 10 species
CCUCCCGGGUUCAAGCAAUUCUCCUGCCUCAGCCUCCCAAGUAGCUGGGAUUACAGGUGCACGCCACUACAUCUGGCUAAUUUUUGUAUUUUUAGUAGAGACGGGGUUUCGCCGUGUUGGCCAGGCUGGUCUCCAACUCCUGACCUCAGGUGAUCUGCCCACCUUGGCCUCCCAAAGUGCUGGGAUUACAGGCAUGAGCUACUGUGCCUGGCCCCUGUUCAUGAUUCUAUCCCCAGAAAAAUGAGCAUGUACCAAUUCCCAGUCUCUUGGCUGUUGGGAAACAUUGCUAAUGAAAUAUGUAAUGCAAAGCAAAUUUACUUUCACCUUGCCCAAGAGUGAUCCAGCAAGUCACUGGAACCAAGCUGGCCUUGUAGCAGUCAUGAGCAGAGCCUCCUUAACCAUCAUAAGUCCCAAGCUGGCCCCUUUUUCUGCUUUACCAACAGAAAAGCUGUCAUCACCCUAUAGUCACCAGUGAUAUACCAGGUCCAAACAAGGUAGCCUUCAUUUAGAGAGCUAAAAGAACAAAUGAUUAAUGCUUUUUCUGUUUGGCUGCUUUUGUUUUCUAAGAAUGUUCAGUGUUAUCUGGUCAUUCUUUUGGCUAGGACAUCCUUUCUUUAUAUUGACUCUGGAGCUAUUCCUUGUUCCUACUCUGUGUACCCAUGAUACGUCUAUAUCUUAGCCCUUGAAAGGCAUAGAAAAGAGUUUUUUUGUUUUUUUUUUUAGAUGGAGUCUCACUCUGUUGCCUAGGCUGGAGUGCAGUGGUGCAAUCUCGGCUCACUGCAGCCUCCACAUCCUGGGUUCAAGUGAUUCUCCUGCCUCAGCCUCCUGAGUAGCUGGGACUAUAGGCACGUACCACCAUGCCCAGCUAAUUUUUGUAUUUUUAGUAGAGAUGGGGUUUCACCAUGCUGACCAGGCUGGCCUUGAACUCCUGAGCUUGUGAUCCACCUACCUCAGCCUCCCAAAGUGCUGGGAUUACAGGUGUGAGCCACCGCACCCAGUCAAAAAGAAUUCUUCUGAGGGUAAUCUCAGUCCCCAAGGGGUGGCCCACUCAACUGAUAUCCACAGGUACUUAAACUUUUUUGUAUAAAGUCAGUGCAUAAUGUGAGUACCAUGUGGAUGGAUUAUAGUAAAACGCAAGUCACAGAAGUUCAAGCCAGGAUUGGAUAUUUUAUAUCAGUGGGAGCUUUUGGAUUAACGUGAAUAUGGAUUUUUUUUUUUUUUUUUUUGAGAUGGAGUUUUGCUCUUGUUGCCCAGGCUGGAGUGCAAUGGCAUGAUCUUGGCUCACCGCAACCUUUGCCUUCCAGGUUCAAGCGAUUCUCCUGCCUCAGCCUCUCUAGUACCUGGGAUUACAGGCACCUGCCACCAUGCCCGGCUAAUUUUGUAUUUUUAGUAGAGACGCGGUUUCUCCAUGUUGGUCACGCUGGUCUGGAACUCCCAACCUCAGGUUAUCCUCCCGCCUCUGCCUCCCAAAGUGCUGGAAUUACAGGCAUGAGCCACCACACCCGGCUUUUUAUUUUUUUGAGACGGAGUUUCGUCGUUGUUGCGCAGGCUGGAGUGCUAUGGUGUGAUGUCCGCUCACUGCAACCUCUGCCUCCCGGGUUCAAGCGAUUCUCCUGCCUCACCCUCCUGAGUAGCUUGGAUUACAGGCAUGUGCCACCACGCCCGGCUAAUUUUGUAUUUUUAGUAGAGAUGGGUUUUCUCCAUGUUGGCCAGGCUGGUCUCCAACUCCUGACCUCAGGUGAUCCGCCCGCCUCGGCCUCCCAAAGUGCUGGGAUUACAGGCAUGAGCCACUGCGCCCGGUCUGAACAUGGAUCUUUAAAUGACUCAGUGGGGGCAAGAGCAGAAAGUAGUAUCCUACCAACCACUCAGAAAACCAGGCAAGACUCUAGAAAACACAGGGAUCCUGGAAAAUGUAACAGAUGACUCAAAAAGCAUGCCUUAACUCUCCAAGGAAAUCCACAUUUCAACCCUACCAAUUAAAAAGAAAGCCUGAACAAUUGGAACAGUUGCCUCUACAGGCAAGGAUAUCAAUCAAUCAAAAAUGCAUCUGCCCACUUGGUGUGAACAGUGAUUUUUUUUUUU